UACAGAGGUCUCAAGCGUUGUUCGGAUUCAUUGGGCGUAAAGGGUGCGUAGGCGGCGCGGUAAGUCGGGUGUGAAAGCCCCGGGCUCAACCUGGGAAUUGCAUUCGAGACUGCGUAGCUAGGGUGCGGAAGAGGGAAGCGGAAUUUCCGGUGUAGCGGUGAAAUGCGUAGAUAUCGGAAGGAACACCGGUGGCGAAGGCGGCCAACUGGACAGAUACUGACGCUGAGACUCGAAAGCGUGGGGAGCAAACAGG
rnacentral:rRNA from 1 species